GCCGAGCCGGGGGCGAGCGAGGAGCGGGCGGGAGCCCACUGCGGGCAACCGCGGUCCGUCCAGCCCGAGGCGCCGGGCGGAGGCGCUUCCGGGUGCAACUGCGAGAAACGCGCCCCGGGGGGUCUGGACUUGCAACCAGCGGGGGCCGCGCUCUGCGCCUCCGCCGCCCUCCCCAGCCCCCAGGGUUCCCGAGACCCCCGAGUUCCUUGCAGAACCCUUGUGGGUGCCACCUGGGAAUUCUCCCUUCCUCCAAGUCCCGGGAUUCCGAUGCUGCAGUCUCUACUAAGCUUAACCUGUUUGUCUCAGGUGUCACGACCUAGCCUCUAGCAGAGUCAGGUGUGCGUGGAGAGAACGCACUACCACCCGGCCCGAGCUCUCCUCUGCGGAGCCUCCUAAGGUCGGAUGCAAGUCCCGUGCAGGAUGGGUGCCUGGUGGUUGCUAGAUAUACCUUACCACUGGGUAUUACAUGGUUUCUCAGAUGGAGCUUAAGGUGAGUGAGCCAGAGAAGAAAACUAAAACAGAAAAACCUUGAAGUUUCCCAGAAGUCUAGAGCUGGAGUGAUGACACAGUCUAGCUGUUCUUUUAGAGGACUGCUGCAGGCCCCAGCUCUCAGGAGGAAGCAGCUCUCAACUGCCUACAACUCCAGCUCCAGGAGGUCGGAUGCCCUUUUAUGGAUUCUGACCACCGCUCUUGCCUCUUCCUCCUCCUCACAGGGUUCCCCGAGGCCCAGAUCUGGGGCAAUGUCUUCUGCUGUCUUGAUACUUCCUUCUCAAGGCACUUAACAAUGCACCCGGCUCGGGAUUCGUUGGCGAGAACACAAAGA